GGGGGUGUACUGGUUUCGACGGGGGAAGCGGUGGCAGGAGAAGCGAGCCGGGGUCGCGUUAGCCCGUAAAAACGGCGCAAAAAAAGUAAACGCAAAAGAAAAUUACGCUUUAGCUGCUUAAUGCAGUCUAACCUCUUACCUUCUGCUCCCGCGGUGAGGGCUAAGGGGUCAAAUUAGCGGGAUACCUUCAGGGGAGAGUCCCAUAGCCUGAAGGGAAACCAAUGGGGCUGGUUCAAAGGGAUCCUGCUUGUGGGAGCCCGGCGGGCGAGACUUAAAACAUAAGCUGCGCUCGGAGAAGCUUCUGUGGUCGGUCCUUCGGACAGGGGUUCGACUCCCCUCACCUCCACCA
rnacentral:tmRNA from 1 species